CUGUCCGGCGGUACCCGGGGCUACCAGGAGGAGGAGGAGGGAGCCGGAGGAACCAACAGCUCCAGGGCCCGGUUGCCGUGGAAACCGCCUCCCUCCCUUCAGGGGCCUCUGGGCUUGAAGGUCCUUCCAACUGCUUGCUGGAAAUUGAAAAUCUCUUGCUUCUGUUUGCAGCUGCACCUGACCCUUGAAAACUGGGAAAGGCAUGCUGCCAGCCUGGAACACCACACAUCCCCGGGAAGAAUACUGAGGUGCCACAAAAACCGAGAGCUGAGCUCCCGACUGUGAAAAAAGCGUGAUCGGUAUGGGAUUCCUGUCUCCAGCAAGCCACUUGCACCCCUAUAGUUCCAGGCCACUAGAAGUCCAUCCAGCGACAGAAUGCACAGUUUAAAAAGACUUCCACCAUGGUUAAUUUUCAUGUGUGAUAAUGGUAUUGUGGUUAUAAGGAGAUGAUUCUUUGUCUGAGGGAAUGCAUGCUGCCAUGUUUAAGAUUGAGUAUCAUGAUGUCUACGACUUCUUUUAAAUGAUAUAGCAAUACAGAUAUGGAAAUAGAGAGAUAUGCCGAGAUACAUAAAAAGAAAUAAAAGCAAAUAUGACAAAAUAUUAACAAUUAUG